UAUUUUAGUCUUAAAGGAUACGAGUUUUUGAAAGUAAAGGAGCAAUAUCAACAGAGUUUCUAUUGCUCCUUUACUUUUUUUUUUUACAUCGCAAAGUCAUAUGUUUAAAAAAAAAAACAAAUGAAUGCUUCCAUUCUUUUGCUUUUUGUACCCCAUUCUAUCUUAGGAAACGAGUAAAAACUAAAGUUAGAGAAGAAACAGAAAAAGAAUAACAAAAGAAAAGAGUAUAAAUGGUUUAGUCUAGGAGAUU
rnacentral:misc_RNA from 1 species